AUGCAGUCGAACGGCAGCACGGGUGCUUGCACCUGGUGGCGAGUGGCGAACGCCUUUAGUAAUGUAUCGGAACGUAUCCAAUAAUGGGGGAUAACUAAUCGAAAGGUUGGCUAAUACCGCAUACGCCCUACGGGGGAAAGCAGGGGAUCUUCGGACCUUGCGUUAAUGGAGCGGCCGAUAUCUGAUUAGCUAGUUGGUGAGGUAAAGGCUCACCAAGGCGACGAUCAGUAGCUGGUCUGAGAGGACGACCAGCCACACUGGAACUGAGACACGGUCCAGACUCCUACGGGAGGCAGCAGUGGGGAAUUUUGGACAAUGGGGGCAACCCUGAUCCAGCCAUUCCGCGUGAGUGAAGAAGGCCUUCGGGUUGUAAAGCUCUUUCGCAAGGGAAGAAACGAUACAGUCUAAUAAACUGUGUUAAUGACGGUACCUUGAUAAGAAGCACCGGCUAACUACGUGCCAGCAGCCGCGGUAAUACGUAGGGUGCGAGCGUUAAUCGGAAUUACUGGGCGUAAAGCGUGCGCAGGCGGUUUUGAAAGUCAGAUGUGAAAUCCCCGGGCUCAACCUGGGAACUGCGUUUGAAACUCCAAAGCUAGAGUAUGGGAGAGGGGGGUAGAAUUCCACGUGUAGCAGUGAAAUGCGUAGAGAUGUGGAGGAAUACCAAUGGCGAAGGCAGCCCCCUGGCUUAAUACUGACGCUCAUGCACGAAAGCGUGGGGAGCAAACAGGAUUAGAUACCCUGGUAGUCCACGCCCUAAACGAUGUCUACUAGUUGUUGGGAGAGUAAAAUCUCUUAGUAACGCAGCUAACGCGUGAAGUAGACCGCCUGGGGAGUACGGUCGCAAGAUU
rnacentral:rRNA from 1 species